rnacentral:rRNA from 1 species
CGCACGGGUGAGUAACACGUGAGUGACCUGCCUUUUAGACUGGAACAACUUACCGAAAGGUGAGCUAAUGCCGGAUGAGUUAUAUAAGUGCAUGUUUAUAUAGGAAAAGUUGGGGAGACCUGACGCUGAAAGAUGGACUCGCGUCCCAUUAGCUAGUUGGUAGGGUAAUGGCCUACCAAGGCGACGAUGGGUAGCCGGCCUGAGAGGGUGGCCGGCCACACUGGGACUGGGACACGGCCCAGACUCCUACGGAAGGCAGCAG